rnacentral:lncRNA from 1 species
UCCACCCCAUUGUGCUUUGAGAGAGAGGAAGGAAGGAAAGAAGGAAAGAAGGAAGGAAGGAAGGAAGGAAGGAAGGAAGGAAGGAAGGAAGGAAGGAAGGAAGGAAGGAAGGAAGGAAGGAAGGAAGGAGGGAAGGAAGGAAGGAAUUGGUAUUGAUAGACAAAAAAUUUAGUAUCUACUUCUGCUAUGGGAUUUGAGUCAUAACUCUGAAUUUCACCUCUCAGAGAUUCUCCUCUGGCAGAAUUCUCAGUCAAAUGACCUUUACACUUAUCCAUCAAUCAUUGAACAAACAAGGCAAGCUUUUUACGUGGCUUAUUUCUGCGUAGAGAGUCUCUAGAAAGAAUGAGAUCUUCUUGCGUGACCUGAAAAAUCACCAGGAUGCCAAAGAAAAAUUAGAUUGCAGAUUUUUGCUAUGCAAUAAAAGCAUGUUUAGGCCAGUUUCCAUAACACAAAUUUUUACAGAACUCCCUCUGUACACAAUCAAUCAAUAAGCAUUUUUUAAGAACCUAGUGUAUGUGUUCAACACUUUGCUAGGCACUGGAGAUAAUAAUAUCAAAAAAAGAAAAGAAUGAAGUCAUUGCUGAUUUUAAGGAUUUAAGACCCACCUCUGAUUUCUCCUGAAUAUAUGACCCUGGGGAAGUCAAUGCUCUAGACCAGUGAUGUCCAACUCAAAUAAAAAUGGAUCCCUGCAGCCACAUAUAGAUUUAGAAUACAACAGAUUAACUUUAUGUUUUAUUGGAUUUUAAUUUAUUUUGCUAAAAAUUUCUCAAUUACAUUGUAAUCUGAGUUGGCCAGUCAUGAUUUGGUCAGUGAAUUAUGACCAGUGAGUUUUCUCUACAGCUGUGGGACUGUAAAGUGAAAAGGAGUUAUCAACCUGCGCUGAUAGAGGGAAUUUCCUUUUUUAGGAGAUCUUCAUUCCAGUGAAAUCACUGCUCCAGUCCCUGAGGGGACUUCUACUGGGGAAGCAACAUGCACAUCUGUCUACUUGCUCACCUGUGAAGUCUAUACAGCACGGGAGGAUGAGGAAGUCAUUCUACAUGAGCCCAUCUCAGCAGUUGAAGAGUUGCUGCACCAUGAGCCCAUAGCCAGGAACAUAAUAAGUGUCGCUGCUGAUAAGAGAGGAAAUAAAGAGACCAACUGAAGCUCUAAACAGCCACCAGAACACUGGAAAAACUGGCUUUCCACCCAAAAGGAACCAAGACAAACAAAUUUUGGCUUUGCCGUUCUUUUCGGAAGCCUGAUUCGGCUGAUCAAGUUAUUCAAAAGAGUCAAGGUAGGUUGUGUAUAUAGACACAGCCAGAAAGAAGGCUAAUGUAUCUGUGUGGGCUUUUUUCACCAUCUUUUCCUUUACCGUCUGGGUUUUACUGAACUUUUACUCAAGGGCCUAUACUUAUGUACCCAGAACUCUAAACAAAAUGAGAAAGCAAUUACC